UGAGGAGUCGACUAACAGGCUAAGUCGGCGGGUUUUGGUCCCGCAAACCGGGGUUCGAGUCCUCGCUCCUCAG
rnacentral:tRNA from 1 species